ACUGUUACAAUACACCAACCACUGGACUCAGUCGCUAAUAAAGACUAAAGUACAAAUAAGUAAAUAACUACCAUCAUAAGUUCAACCACCAAAUUCAAAGUACAAUGUGUAGUUCCUAGUUAGUUAGGGGAAAAACCAUUGCUUCAUUUCCAUCAGACCAUUUGAAAUUUUGGCAAUCAAAAUCCAUCUAAAACAAGCUAAUUAUAGUUAUAUGCUAUUAAUAGUUUUUGUAAUUGUCAUUUGUCAAGUCAGUCCAAUUAGGGGUGUUUAUGGGUGAGAUUGGAUCGGGUUUGAGGGCAAAUUAGAACCGAACCAAUUAAAUUGUCAUCGGAUCGGUUUGGAUUGGGUAAGGCAUCUUUUGAGAAUAUACCCGAAUCAACCCAAACCGAUUAAAUCCCGAAUUGGAUUGGUUCAGGUGGUUGGGUACUCGAUUAAAUCUUAAAUUUGAAACAAAAAAAAUUGGGAGAAAAGGGAAAAAAAUUUUCAGUAGCAAAAUUUAAAAACGGGUAUGAUCAAUUUUAGCAAUAUUAAAACAAAUCAUAGUCAUACCAUUGUUCCGAAAAUCGAACCGGACCAUCCGGUUCGACCGGAAACCGGUCAUUUUGUCCGGUUCGGUUGAUGUGAUAAACCAUCCUGCAAAAAAUUGACUUAAAAACUGGUCAAACUGAUGGUUAAUCAAUGAACCGUUAAAACAGUCCGAUCUUUUGCCGGUUCAGUGGUUUAAAAAAAAAAAUCAAAAGUUCGGAACCUCUCAAUUAGGCAAACCCUAAUUCCGAUAGAUGGUGUUGUCGCCGCCAGCGGAGACAGACUUGGGUGCCAUCGUCGCUCGUGGAAGGUCUGCUCGCUUCUCGAUCCUCUUCUCCUCGACGUUGAGUGCUUGCUCGGAACUGUUGGCGACACCGCCGCAAAGGGCUUCUCCGUCGUCGUCUCUGCUCUAUCUGUUGGUGCCCAUCUCUCUCUUCGAGUUCUCUCUCUAUCCGAGGCUCAGAGCUCUCCCUGUCUCUCUCAUUGCGACGUCUCUCUCUACUCGGCUGUGGAGUAUUCGUUGCUCCGUCACCUUCCUUCCUCCCUCGCCGUCGAUAACCACUACUGGCUCAGUUUAUUUUUGGUUAUUUUGUUAAUUUUAUUUAUUCUGAUUUUUGAGUUGCUGGCCGUUGAUUUUUCUGAUUCUGCGUUGUUGAUGAACAUUGUUAAUGCUAUAAUUUUUUCUGAUUCUGAGUUGUUUAUGUUAAUUUUGAGUUGUUUAUGUUGGUUUUUCUGAUUCUGAGUUGUUAGUUUUGGUUGCUGAUUUUUUUUAUUCUGGAUUGUUGAUGGUGGUAUGGUAAAAUUGUUUUUCAUCAUUUCUCAUCUUUCAGUAGCACAAAUUACAUUUCUUUCUUGUACAUUUUUUGUUAAAAUUUAUACACUUCUUUGAACUUUGAAGUAUGCUAGAAAGAGUUUCAAUUUUUUUUUGUAUUGAAAAUUCCAAUCAAGUCCCUUUGUACUGGGUUUGUCAAAGUUUCUGGUUUUAAUGUUGGUGAAAUUCUCAAUGAGAAUGAGAAGGAGAACAUCACAAGGACUAGUAUUCAACAAUAUGAUAUUGCUAUUGUAGAACAUUAUAAUUCUUUAUUUGUUAAUUUUUUUCAUUCUAUUAUAUUUUUUGUUUUUAUGAUUUUUAUGAAAUUGGAAUAAUUGUUUGUGGUUAAACAUUAUUUCUUUGUCAUUUAAGUGCAUUUUGAUUUUUAUUAGUUAA